UACGUAGGGGGCGAGCGUUGUCCGGAAUCAUUGGGCGUAAAGAGCUCGUAGGCGGUUCAGUAAGUCAGGUGUGAAAGCUCCGAGCUCAACUCGGAGAGGCCACCUGAUACUGCUGUGACUAGAAUCCAGUAGGGGAGUGUGGAACUCCUGGUGUAGCGGUGAAAUGCGCAGAUAUCAGGAAGAACACCAGCGGCGAAAGCGGCUUCCUGGACCAGAACUGACGAUCAGGCUCGAAAGCGUGGGGAGCAAACACGG
rnacentral:rRNA from 1 species